UACAUAGGGUGCGAGCGUUAAUCGGAAUUACUGGGCGUAAAGCGUGCGCAGGCGGUUUUGUAAGCCAGAUGUGAAAUCCCCGGGCUUAACCUGGGAAUGGCAUUUGGGACUGCAAGGCUCGAGUGCGGCAGAGGAGACUGGAAUUCCUGGUGUAGCAGUGAAAUGCGUAGAUAUCAGGAGGAACACCGAUGGCGAAGGCAGGUCUCUGGGCUGACACUGACGCUCAUGCACGAAAGCGUGGGGAGCAAACAGG
rnacentral:rRNA from 1 species